ensembl:lncRNA
UAUAUAUAUAUAUAUAUAUAACAGAACAGGUAAACUGUUCUGCAGAUAGGUUUUCUAAUGUGCCUUAAUAUCUCACCUUGCUAUGUGCAAAGUAGGGCUCGAUUAGAAUUGCAAAACAAAUAUAUCAUUAUCCAUAAUCAUGGAACCAAUUCUCACUCAAAUGACUUCUAUAAACUGGAAAAAAAAAAAAGCAAGAGCGCGAAAUCAUGCUGCUAACCCCGCCCCUCACAUUAACGUUUACAGGUAGUAACUUUUAAUACGAAAUGGAUCGUGCAACAACUUAGCAUAAACAAAAAAUUAAGGUUUCAGUAUUCUAGGAUGUUAACAUUGUCUUCAGUGUUCUAGAAUGUCAAUAUUAGUAUUUAAGUAUUCUAGAAUGUAAAUUUAAAAAAAAGCUAUAUUCUAGAAUGUCAAAAUAACAAUUUUCAGUGUCCUAGAAUGUCAGUACUCGGAUUUCAGUAUUUUAUCAUGUAAAAAAUAAAUAAAUAAAAUAAAUAUCCACAUUCUAGAACGCCAAAACUAUUCUUUUAGUGUUCUAGAAUGUCAAUCGUUGGGUUUCAGUAUUCAGUAAUGUUCACAACUAAUGAUUCAGUACUCUAGAAUGUCAAAAAAACAAAACAAAACAAAAAAAAAACGUGGACACACAGUCGCUUACCUUCCCUAUUAUAGAUCUCCACGCAGUGGUCAGUAUUUUUCCUGCUCAUGCUGUAGUGCCGGAGCAGUGCGCAGUACAGGAGACCGCUCCUACUUUCGGUUAUCUAGCUUUAUGACGGAGGAGAAACACUCAUACAGCUAGAUAACCAAAGAUAGCAACCGACCCCAUCACACACGACACAAGUAACGAGGAGCAUCUCGUAAGAGCAGACCUGAUAAUGAACAAAGAAUAGGUUAACAUGUUAGCAAACGAAUAAAGAGAGGCAGUUUGGUUUUUAUUGCACUCUGAAUCACAGCUCCGCACAUUUGUAUUAACGAAGCCUGAGCAUUUAUUCAACGUCAUCAGCAGAGUUGCCUGUGCUGCCGUUUUGUAGGGUUGUCAUUCAUUUAGCUCCUUUAGACUCGAAUAGUCCCUGUCCUCUAAUAACAGCCAGCACAAGAUUAAUAUUCCUAAAAUAUAUAAUUUUAUCUGUCCUGUUAGCCUUCAGUCCUCAUGAUCUCUUUGGCCCUUUACGCGCUCCCUCUCUGUGUUUGCACAAAAUGGACAGACGUGUUCAUUUUUAGAUGAAAGAAUAAACAUUAAAGUCUGAAUAGAAAUCUCAUUGCGAGCAGAAGAAGUUUAAAUUAUUGUGUUUAUUGAUAGUCAUUAUUACUGAUAUUGUCCCAUGACUUAUACCAUAAUUAAACCAAAAGUAAGAAUACAACGCAUAAGUAUUAACAAGGUUAUAUUAAAAUCGUUAUGUAAUGCCCCCUCCCUAAGUAAGUAACAUUUAAUAGCCGGAAAAUUGUUUUUAUUUAGUGUAUUUUACUCAGAGCAUGGCGCCAUAACUUGCCAAGUUGUACUGAUUAGAUAGACAUUACAAUGAGCUAAAUGUAACUUCAGUUUAGAAUCCAAACAAUUUUAUUAUCUUGUAAAACAAUACUGACAUAAACGGAAACAUUAUUGUUGUUAAUAUUUGUUGUUAACGGAAACGUUAUUGUUGUUCUAACAUCACUGAUGACAAAAAAUAAAAUUAUAUGGGCCUAACAAUAAAAGUCUAAGUAGUUUUCUUCUUCUUCUUCUUCUUCUUCUUCUUCUUCUUCUUAAAUAAAUGAUUAGGAAUUUAAUGAGGCUUUAAAAAAAGUGUUAUAAUUUAGCUACUCUAAAUUUAGACACCACCCCUUAAUAAUGACCCUACAAUUCUCUGGAGCGCGCGCGACAUAUGACGUCAUAGGAUUUGAUUUCUUUGUGACUGCUUGGCUUACCUGUUGUGUUGCAUCUUAAAUAAGAUUUAUAAAGCAGGUAUAUUGAUUUAGACUGAUGCAUAUACUGCAUGACAACAAUUGAAUAACAAAAUAAGAAGAACAAACAAGCCCACCUUCAUGUUAUAUAAAUAUAACAAAUCAUAUGAUUACAAUCACAUAAUAUUUAAGAUAUGCAUGCAAUAAUGAACACUUUAAUUUUUGCAGUUUUUUAACCUUUAAAACACAUUUCCUUACAAUGUAACAGAGUUCAAAGAACGCCAACAUUAAUAGUCUGAAGUACAUUUUGAAAACAUUUUAUUACACUAUCUCUCAUUAUGUAAACAUCUUAUUGGCCUAUAUGCCAUUAUUGCACCCUUAUGCAGGUCGUACACUGAACUUGUGGAAGGGUUUUGACAUCCACAGUGUUACAGGAGUCGGAUUUACUACAGGUUAUUUCUACACGCUCUUAUAUGUCGUUAUAAUGAACAUUACUAUAUACACGGCAAAAUAAUGUUUGUUUCUAAUAGUUAACACUGUAUUGCAGAUUAACGCACGACAUGUUUAGCAAUAGCCUAUUGCUUUUUCACUGCCUCUGUUUCACAGUGUAAUAGGCUUAGGAACAUGGAAAGGAAUUGUUAGCACUUUGUCUGGCCUCCUCUCAGUCUGUACAGGAGAUAACUAUUCAAACAUUUACGUGUCUCCAUUUAUAAACUUAAAAAUAACUAUAAUCGCAUACUGGAUUGUGACCAUUCUAUAUAAUGAUCAUACAAUAAUGAGCGCGUUAAUAUGAUCCAGAGGUCAAGUGCAAUUCCUCACAAUGAAAUAUGAAGUCUUACUUUUUUUUAUGAUGCCGUGCGUAUUCCUUUCUGUCGUGCUCAGGAUGCAAAGUGUUAAGUGCCCGAGUGUUGUGCACAUCUAAGUGGUCUUCUCUGUGUCUGUCAAGCACGAUACUGCUGCGCAAGAUGCGUUACCAGCACUGUGUGUUGUACUUCUGAAAUCUUCACUGCCAAAAAUAAAAGAAAUCGUGAUCGUCAAUGGCACCAGCCAUGGCGGGUUUUCCUCUGUAAGUCCGCGAAGCCUGGGAUGGCGUUUCUUUAAGAUCCAGUGAGCAGGAACAUGGGCAGUUUAUUUCCAACAUGGGGGAUUUCCUCCCAUGAAACAGCCUGGGGUUUGUGAUUUAUUUAAGAUGCACGUGGCUUUGUCUGACCUUUCACAGUCAGAUGUAAGCUUCAAGCUGGAGCGGACUCUUCCGUGCGUGUGGUGCGAUGCUCUCUCUCUGGCUCAGGAGUCUCUAGUUUUCGGGUCUAAAAGCCUGC